rnacentral:sRNA from 1 species
GUCCUGUGUGAGACCAUGAAGGACACGCCCUACGACUACAAAGCCGACAUCUGGUCCCUGGGCAUCACGCUGAUUGAGAUGGCCCAGAUCGAGCCGCCACACCACGAGCUCAACCCCAUGCGGGUCCUGCUAAAGAUCGCCAAGUCGGACCCUCCCACGCUGCUCACGCCCUCUAAGUGGUCUGUAGAGUUCCGUGACUUCCUGAAGAUAGCCCUGGAUAAGAACCCAGAAACCCGACCCAGCGCCGCGCAGCUGCUGGAGGUGAGUGGAUUCCCUCCCACUCUGCUCCCUGAAGGGUGGAGCCUAAUGAACUCACCAGUGACCCGGACGCUGGGCGAGUUCUCA